GACGAACGCUGGCGGCGUGCUCAACACAUGCAAGUCGAACGGAAAGGCCCUGCUUUUGUGGGGUGCUCGAGUGGCGAACGGGUGAGUAACACGUGAGUAACCUGCCCUUGACUUUGGGAUAACUUCAGGAAACUGGGGCUAAUACCGGAUAGGAGCUCCUGCUGCAUGGUGGGGGUUGGAAAGUUUCGGCGGUUGGGGAUGGACUCGCGGCUUAUCAGCUUGUUGGUGGGGUAGUGGCUUACCAAGGCUUUGACGGGUAGCCGGCCUGAGAGGGUGACCGGCCACAUUGGGACUGAGAUACGGCCCAGACUCCUACGGGAGGCAGCAGUGGGGAAUAUUGCACAAUGGGCGGAAGCCUGAUGCAGCAACGCCGCGUGCGGGAUGACGGCCUUCGGGCUGUAAACCGCUUUCGCCUGUGACGAAGCGUGAGUGACGGUAAUGGGUAAAGAAGCACCGGCUAACUACGUG
rnacentral:rRNA from 1 species